UACGUAGGGUGCAAGCGUUGUCCGGAAUUAUUGGGCGUAAAGAGCUCGUAGGCGGUCUGUCGCGUCGGCUGUGAAAUCCCGAGGCUCAACCUCGGGUCUGCAGUCGAUACGGGCAAACUGGAGUGUUGCAGGGGAGACUGGAAUUCCUGGUGUAGCGGUGAAAUGCGCAGAUAUCAGGAGGAACACCGGUGGCGAAGGCGGGUCUCUGGGCAACAACUGACGCUGAGACGCGAAAGCGUGGGUAGCAAACAGG
rnacentral:rRNA from 1 species